rnacentral:rRNA from 1 species
UACGUAGGUGGCAAGCGUUGUCCCGGAUUUACUGGGCGUAAAGGAUGCGUAGGCGGACAUUUAAGUCAGAUGUGAAAUACCCGAGCUUAACUUGGGUGCUGCAUUUGAAACUGGGUGUCUAGAGUGCAGGAGAGGUAAGUGGAAUUCCUAGUGUAGCGGUGAAAUGCGUAGAGAUUAGGAAGAACACCAGUGGCGAAGGCGACUUACUGGACUGUAACUGACGCUGAGGCAUGAAAGCGUGGGGAGCAAACAGG